ACACGCAUAAUAUACUGGGAGCCAAUCCGGAUGCAGGAGCCUGUUUCUGCGCUACAACUGGUGCGGCGGUAUAUGACAAUGCUUGUGGUAAGUCUGUAAGCACAGUGAAAUCUGGGACGUGCAUGAAGUACUGGGGACUACGACUGACAUGCGGAGAAUCUCAGUAUUUUGCCGUGUCUUAUCAAGGAAAGAAAAGAUGGAUUGAUGGGAAGGCCUUCGCUUCUCAGACUGCGCACCAUUGUUCAAUUGGCAGUGGACUUGGCACAGUUGACUUCCGGGG